UACAGAGGGUGCAAGCGUUGCUCGGAUUUACUGGGCGUAAAGCGUACGCAGACGGUUUGGUAGGUCGGAUGUGAAAGCCCCGGGCUCAACCCGGGAAUUGCAUCCGAAACCACCUCACUCGAGUGUGGGAGAGGGAAGCGGAAUUCCUGGUGUAGAGGUGAAAUUCGUAGAUAUCAGGAGGAACACCGGCGGCGAAGGCGGCUUCCUGGCCCAUUACUGACGUUCAGGUACGAAAGCGUGGGUAGCAAACAGG
rnacentral:rRNA from 1 species